CACUCUAGCGAGACUGCCGGUAAGUAAACCGGAGGAAGGUGGGGAUGACGUCAAAUCAUCAUGCCCCUUAUGACCUGGGCUACACACGUGCUACAAUGGUUGGUACAACGAGUUGCGAGUCGGUGACGGCGAGCUAAUCUCUUAAAGCCAAUCUCAGUUCGGAUUGUAGGCUGCAACUCGCCUACAUGAAGUCGGAAUCGCUAGUAAUCGCGGAUCAGCACGCCGCGGUGAAUACGUUCCCGGGCCUU
rnacentral:rRNA from 1 species